GGGGGUGCGGCAGGCUACCAUGCAAGUCGAACGGUAACAGGAAGCAGCUUGCUGCUUUGCUGACGAGUGGCGGACGGGUGAGUAAUGUCUGGGAAACUGCCUGAUGGAGGGGGAUAACUACUGGAAACGGUAGCUAAUACCGCAUAACGUCGCAAGACCAAAGAGGGGGACCUUCGGGCCUCUUGCCAUCGGAUGUGCCCAGAUGGGAUUAGCUUGUUGGUGGGGUAACGGCUCACCAAGGCGACGAUCCCUAGCUGGUCUGAGAGGAUGACCAGCCACACUGGAACUGAGACACGGUCCAGACUCCUACGGGAGGCAGCAGUGGGGAAUAUUGCACAAUGGGCGCAAGCCUGAUGCAGCCAUGCCGCGUGUAUGAAGAAGGCCUUCGGGUUGUAAAGUACUUUCAGCGGGGAGGAAGGGAGUAAAGUUAAUACCUUUGCUCAUUGACGUUACCCGCAGAAGAAGCACCGGCUAACUCCGUGCCAGCAGCCGCGGUAAUACGGAGGGUGCAAGCGUUAAUCGGAAUUACUGGGCGUAAAGCGCACGCAGGCGGUUUGUUAAGUCAGAUGUGAAAUCCCCGGGCUCAACCUGGGAACUGCAUCUGAUACUGGCAAGCUUGAGUCUCGUAGAGGGGGGUAGAAUUCCAGGUGUAGCGGUGAAAUGCGUAGAGAUCUGGAGGAAUACCGGUGGCGAAGGCGGCCCCCUGGACGAAGACUGACGCUCAGGUGCGAAAGCGUGGGGAGCAAACAGGAUUAGAUACCCUGGUAGUCCACGCCGUAAACGAUGUCGACUUGGAGGUUGUGCCCUUGAGGCGUGGCUUCCGGAGCUAACGCGUUAAGUCGACCGCCUGGGGAGUACGGCCGCAAGGUUAAACUCAAAUGAAUUGACGGGGGCCCGCACAAGCGGUGGAGAUGUGGUUAAUUCGAUGCACGCGAAGACCUUACCUGGUCUUGACUCCCAGACUUUCAGAGAUGAUUGUGCUUCGGAACUGUGAACAGUGCUGCUGCUGUCUCAGUCGUGUGGGAAUGUGGGUAAUCCGCACGAGGCACCUUAUCUUUGUGCACGGUCGGCGGAAUCAAGGAAUGCAG
rnacentral:rRNA from 1 species